UGCGCAUUCCGGACACGACCUGGUUGAGCUCGAGCCGCCCCUGAAAGCUGUACGGAGGCAGAGGAAACGGCACAGCCUGGCGGUAGACUGUAUACUGAUGACAACACAGAAGAGAGAUAAACACGUAAACAAAGCAGUCAAGUAGUUAUAUCCAGUGGAGGAUCAGAACUUUUGCUUAAAAUGUAGGACAUGAAGCUCUCCUCAAAUACCUCUGGGAAUAUCAGCUUCACAUCAAUGCUGUCUGCUGAGGCAACAACAACUGAUGCAGAAACCUCCUCCUUCGCGUUGCUCUCAUGUUGCUCGGAGAAGCCGAGAAGGAAAGCCAUGCCUGGGAUGUAGCUUCCAAUGCUGACAAAAGAGUAAAAAGCUCCUUCAGCAACACAUGCCAGAAAGAGUCUUUGUAAACAGAGAAUUUCCACACCAUGCUUUCUAAGGCAAAGGGAUCCUGGUCCAGUGUACUUUGGCCUUGAGCGUUGGUUUGGAACCGGGAAGAUGAGCGGUAAUGCCUCUCAUUGACAUUUCAUAGGACUGACAUUCAGCGCCCCAUCUGAUGUGUGCCUUGAUCAAACAUUGGUAUUAAUCACAAACAGAAACAAUACUUGGCUCCCAGACUGGUAUGAAAUGCAUGUGUGCACAACUGCAAACACCUGAAACAGAUAGGAUGUGGGAUUUUGCGGAUGAAAUUAUGAUUUUAUAGAAUUGUAAAUAUAAAACCAUCAUAAAAUAUAUAUAAACAUAUCUAAGGUUUGGAUUGUUGAAAAAUGUUCAAUGCCCAAUCCCUUUAACAGCCUGGUUUUUUAUUUAACAUUUUAAAUUCCUUCACAUUAAAGGAUUCAGAAAAAUAUAUUUCCAGUCCACAAACACUGAACAUGUUUUUCUUCCCCAAAUGGAGGGAAAACUUUGAUCAGAACAAUUAACUAUUAAUUAAAUUAUUGUAGAAACUUGUGUUCCACCUGCUAUUGAAGCUAGGCAAGAAGAGUAUACACAUUAUACUUUGAACCCACUGAGGAUGAAAAGGUUGCUGCCUGACUGGGGGUCUAAAAACAUUAAAAAAUAU